CUCAAUGUCCCUGAGUUGAGUUCAUGAUGCCCAACGCCCCCCUGAGGCCUCACACCGUGGACCCUGAUCCCUCAGGGACACGAGGCCUCCUGGUGAGAGUCUGCGGGGACUCGUACAGGAACACGGCACCAUGGCAACGGCAAAUAACACGUGAAAUCCAGGGUCAUUUAUACUUUUUACUCCCCGAUUUGAACGUCUUCCAGGCUGUUUCUUCACAAGAUGAGGUUGUUUAAAUGUUUUCACAGGUUUUCUUUAAUGACUAAAACAUUUGAUGAAUAAAUGAGUAACUACCGAUGGAGCGCCUGCAAUGUGUCGAAAGGAAAAAUGCUUGGUUGGACUAACGAAGGAGAACAUUUAAAAAAUCACUGGCACACAUGAUGACCUCUCAUUGUCCAUCAAGAAGCACCGUGUGGAAAGGUGAUGAUGUAAUGACCACGGCCCACCUCAGCUGGCCAGCUGUUUCUACAGGAGAUGGAUGCAGAGCGUGCAGCCCUACAGAAGGAAGGGGGCGGGACCAGAGGCCCCGAACCUUUGAUCCAACCUUUGGGCUUCUGCCACGUUGUGUGACGUAAGCGAGCAUCUCGCACCUGAAUCAGAGGCAGCAGGGACGCAAAAACGUCCCCACGGAGAUGUCCAACAAGAUCACAGCAUUCAAGCCUAAAAGUGACCUAUGGAAGUCCUAACUGGAUCAGAACCAUCUCGCCCACUUUCCUGGUUGUCAGAGCAUCAAAACCUGAAGCCAGACCUAAACUUUAAUCUACAAGAGUUCACAGCGGGUCACCGCAGGGCUGCAGGCUAACGGCAUUAGCAUAAACUCUACUACUCUCUGGUGGAGCACUGUAGCCGGAGAGCUAAAUGCUAACAUGUUAGCUUGGCAUUAAAUAGACUGUUUGGGUGUGAGUUGUUAAUCCAGAGUAGGUAUUUUAAUCCCAGAUGAGCACCGACCACUAAAUUUAAAACAAGCACAUCCUAAAAGACUAAAAGUGAAUCAAGACACAAAGAGGUAACAUGUAUUUUUAUAAAUAAAGUAAUUUUAUCAGAUUCCAUUGACUUUAUGAUGAUGCGUUCAAGCUCUACUCAGUACAAAUGAGUGCUGAGUGAAGGUAAGAUCAUAACAGUCAUAGAGCGUUUAUUUUAAUCUCAAUUUGAAGUGAAAAACUUGUGUCAGGGAUGUUGCGGGAAGCAGGAUUCAAACGCAGACUUUGAGAAAAAAAAAUCCUUUAAUAGUCAAAAGGCAGGCAGGAACUAGAGACAUUCGACAAUGACGCGACAAGUAAAUUGAGACACACACGGCAUAAAUACACUAGGGAGGUGCAGGUGAUUGGACACAGGUGGAAACAAUCAGACAAUCACAGGGGAUGACAGGACAAGGCAGGAAGUGAAGUUACCCAGGGAGACAAGAUGCAGAAACUACAAAAUAAGACAGGAAAUAAAACCACACCGUGACAAUUUGAAUAAAUCCAGAGGUUUGAAGUUACAGAUAAAAGGAAAUAAUUCUCAUUAUAUAAUUAUUAUCAUUAAAACUAGAAAUUGAAGACAAUGUCUUUCUUCAAAGCAAGGGAUUUACUUUUUUCUAUGACAUUUUAGACAUAGUUUUACUUUUCUGAAAGAAUGUCUCAUAUAUUUAGACUUUUUUUAUUUUUGACUUCCUCAUAUAUUUGGAUUUUCUUUUAGAAUAGAAAUGUGUCCCAAUAUGUUUUGACUUUUUUUUCCAAAUUAUUUUUGACUCAAUAUUUAUUUAUUAUUACAUGUUUUGACGUAACAUUGUUUUGAUUCCUUUUUUGACAUCGUAUUUUUUGAACAUCCAACCCGACAGAAAACAGCUCUUUUCUUCUCGGCUCAUCCUCAGAACUCUACUUUAAGUUCUUCCGCAUCUUUUCUCUUUAAACC
ensembl:lncRNA